rnacentral:rRNA from 1 species
GGAUAACUGUUGGAAUUCUAGAGCUAAUACAUGAAGCACACGCCCACCUUUACAAGGACGGGCCGGGUUAAUCCGCACCAUUUUGGUGAGUCAGGACUAACGAACGGAUCGCAUGCGCAAGCGGCGACACAUCAUUCAAGUUUCUGCCCUAUCAGCUUUCGAUGGUACAGUCUUGGUCUACCAUGGCGAUGACGGGUGACGGAGAAUCAGGGUUUGAUUCCGGAGAAGGGGCCUGAGAAAUGGCCACUACUUCUAAGGAAGGCAGCAGGCGCGCAAAUUACCCAAUCUCAGUUCGAGGAGGUAGUGACGAUAAAUAACGAUGCCGUUUCCGCAAGGAGCUGGCAAUCGGAAUGAGGGUGAUCCAAAUCCCCUACCGAGCAGCCAU